AAACUUUCAACAACGGAUCUCUUGGUUCUGGCAUCGAUGAAGAACGCAGCGAAAUGCGAUACGUAGUGUGAAUUGCAGAAUUUAGUGAAUCAUCGAAUCUUUGAACGCACAUUGCGCCCACCAGUAUUCUGGUGGGCAUGCCUGUUCGAGCGUCAUUU
rnacentral:rRNA from 1 species